rnacentral:rRNA from 1 species
GAUGAACGCUGGCGGCGUGCCUAAUACAUGCAAGUCGAGCGAACGGACGAGAAGCUUGCUUUUCUGAUGUUAGCGGCGGACGGGUGAGUAACACGUGGAUAACCUACCUAUAAGACUGGGAUAACUUUGGGAAACCGGAGCUAAUACCGGAUAAUAUUUUGAACCGCAUGGUUCAAAAGUGAAAGACGGUCUUGCUGUCACUUAUAGAUGGAUCCGCGCUGCAUUAGCUAGUUGGUAAGGUAACGGCUUACCAAGGCAACGAUGCAUAGCCGACCUGAGAGGGUGAUCGGCCACACUGGAACUGAGACACGGUCCAGACUCCUACGGGAGGCAGCAGUAGGGAAUCUUCCGCAAUGGGCGAAAGCCUGACGGAGCAACGCCGCGUGAGUGAUGAAGGUCUUCGGAUCGUAAAACUCUGUUAUUAGGGAAGAACAUAUGUGUAAGUAACUGGGCACAUCUUGACGGUACCUAAUCAGAAAGCCACGGCUAACUACGUG